rnacentral:rRNA from 1 species
AGUGAACGCUGGCGGUAGGCUUAACACAUGCAAGUCGAACGGCAGCACAUUAAUAGCUUGCUCUUACGGGUGGCGAGUGGUGGACGGGUGAGGAAUACAUCGGAAUCUACUUUUUCGUGGGGGAUAACGUAGGGAAACUUACGCUAAUACCGCAUACGACCUACGGGUGAAAGCAGGGGAUCUUCGGUCCUUGCGCGAUUGAAUGAACCGUUGUCGGAUUAGCUAGUUGGCGGGGUAAAGGCCCACCAAGGCGCCGAUCCGUAGCUGGUCUGAGAGGAUGAUCAGCCACACUGGAACUGAGACACGGUCCAGACUGCUACGGGAGGCAGCAGUGGGGAAUAUUGGACAAUGGGCGCAAGCCUGAUCCAGCCAUACCGCGUGGGUGAAGAAGGCCUUCGGGUUGUAAAGCCCUUUUGUUGGGAAAGAAAAGCAGCAGGUUAAUACCCCGCUGGUCUGACGGUAACCAAAGAAUAAGCACCGGCUAACUUCGUG